rnacentral:lncRNA from 1 species
CUGUUUUAUGCAUAUAUCAUCCUUCAAUGAUUGUGUUUUUGGACAAUGAAGUGAAGUUACAAGCUACUACAUACAUUAAAUUGGGAAGUACCAAUGUAUCAGCAGUAAGAAGAAGAUAUUUUCCAGAAAAGGAAACAUUUGCCAUGUAAACUGCCGUGUCUCAAUCCGAAUAAAGGCGUAGGAAAGUUAGUUUUCUUCUAAUUGGCGCAAUCGUAUGUAAUAUUUUGGCGCAAAUGAUACCAUGUAAUUUUAAAACAUGUGGCGCAAACG